rnacentral:rRNA from 1 species
CAACAGGGAUUGCCCCUAGUAACGGCGAGUGAAGCGGCAACAGCUCAAAUUUGAAAUCUGGCUCCCUUGGGGUCCGAGUUGUAAUUUGCAGAGGGUGCUUUGGCAUCGGCAGCUGUCCAAGUUCCUUGGAACAGGACAACAUAGAGGGUGAGAUUCUCGUAUCUGACAGCCCGCCUUUGCCGUGUAAAGCCCCUUCGACGAGUCGAGUUGUUUGGGAAUGCAGCUCUAAAUGGGAGGUAAAUUUCUUCUAAAGCUAAAUACCGGCCAGAGACCGAUAGCGCACAAGUAGAGUGAUCGAAAGAUGAAAAGUACUUUGGAAAGAGAGUCAAAAAGCACGUGAAAUUGUUGAAAGGGAAGCGCUUGCAGCCAGAAUUGCCCGUAGUUGCUCACCCAGGCUCCGGCCUGGGGCACUCUUCUGCGGGCGAGCCAGCAUCAGUUUGGGCGGUUGGAUAAAGGCCUCUGUCACGUAUCUCCCUCCGGGGUGACCUUAUAGGGGAGGCGUAAUGCAACCAGCCCGGACUGAGGACCGCGCAUCAGCUAGGAUGCUGGCGUAAUGGCUGUAAGCGGCCCGUCUUGAAACACGGACCAAGGAGUCUAACAUCUAUGCGAGUGUUUGGGUGUCAAGCCCGGACGCGUAAUGAAAGUGAACGGAGGUGGGAACCCUCACGGGUGCACCAUCGACCGAUCCUGAUGUCUUCGGAUGGAUUUGAGUAAGAGCAUAGCUGUUGGGACCCGAAAGAUGGUGAACUAUGCUUGAAUAGGGUGAAGCCAGAGGAAACUCUGGUGGAGGCUCGCAGCGGUUCUGACGUGCAAAUCGAUCGUCAAAUUUGGGCAUAGGGGCGAAAGAUCUAAUCG